AGCGUAGACGGAGUGGCAAGUCUGAUGUGAAAACCCGGGGCUCAACCCCGGGACUGCAUUGGAAACUGUCAAUCUAGAGUACCGGAGAGGUAAGCGGAAUUCCUAGUGUAGCGGUGAAAUGCGUAGAUAUUAGGAGGAACACCAGUGGCGAAGGCGGCUUACUGGACGGUAACUGACGUUGAGGCUCGAAAGCGUGGGGAGCGAAACA
rnacentral:rRNA from 1 species